rnacentral:rRNA from 1 species
UAAUACGAGGGGGGCAAGCGUUAUCCGGAUUUAUUGGGCGUAAAGGGCUCGUAGGCGGACUUAUAAGUCGAAAUUGAAAAACAAUGGCUUAACCACUGAAACGGUUUUGAUACUGUAAGUCUUGAAUUAUGCAGAGGUAAGUGGAAUUCCUGGUGUAGCGGUGAAAUGCGUAGAUAUCAGGAAGAACACCAAAGGCGAAGGCAACUUACUGGGCAUUAAUUGACGCUGAGGAGCGAAAGCGUGGGUAGCAAACAGGAUUAGAGACCCUGGUAGUCCACGCCGUAAACGAUGAGUACUUAGUGGUGGGGGAUUCGACCCCUUCACUGCUGGAGUUAACGCGUUAAGUACUCCGCCUGGGAACUACGGCCGCAAGGCUG